UACGUAGGGUGCAAGCAUUGUCCGGAUUUAUUGGGCGUAAAGAGCUCGUAGGCGGCUUGUCACGUCGGAUGUGAAAACUCGGGGCUCAACCCCGAGCCUGCAUUCGAUACGGGCUAGCUAGAGUGUUGCAGGGGAGACUGGAAUUCCUGGUGUAGCGGUGAAAUGCGCAGAUAUCAGGAGGAACACCGGUGGCGAAGGCGGCCUGCUGGGCAGUUACUGACACUGAGGCGCGACAGCGUGGGGAGCAAACAGG
rnacentral:rRNA from 1 species